GAUGAACGCUAGCUACAGGCUUAACACAUGCAAGUCGAGGGGUAACGAGAGGAAAGCUUGCUUUCCUUGUCGACGACCGGCGCACGGGUGAGUAACGCGUAUCCAACCUGCCCCCAACUAGGGAAUAACCUUGCGAAAGUAAGACUAAUACCCUAUAAUUUCCUCAGAUGUCAUCUGACGAGGAAUAAAGAGUUAUCGGUUGUGGAUGGGGAUGCGUCUGAUUAGCUUGUUGGCGGGGUAACGGCCCACCAAGGCAACGAUCAGUAGGGGUUCUGAGAGGAAGGUCCCCCACAUUGGAACUGAGACACGGUCCAAACUCCUACGGGAGGCAGCAGUGAGGAAUAUUGGUCAAUGGGCGGAAGCCUGAACCAGCCAAGUAGCGUGCAGGAUGACGGCCCUAUGGGUUGUAAACUGCUUUUAUACAGGAAUAAAGUUAGCCACGUGUGGUUAUUUGUAGGUACUGUAUGAAUAAGGACCGGCUAAUUCCGUGCCAGCCGCCGCAGUAACAC
rnacentral:rRNA from 1 species